UGGUCGCCUUCGCGCCACUUUCCUAACCCCGCAAUCAUUUUAACCAGCGUAUCUGCGCUAUAGAUUGACUCACGGUCGGUUCGGAUUUCACUUUAUGUUUCGCUUUUGUCCGCCGGUAGAAAAGUUUUCGGAAUAGUUACGUAUUUAUUUCUCUCUUUUGUCGGUGAGAGACUACACGGCAGCCCAAGCAAGUGAGCGAAGAUGGUGGAUUUCGGCUGAUCCACCAUGAAGUGCAGCACCCCACAGGAAAUUGAUACCUGGAGCAGUGUGACCAUCAUUCCCAUGGUGCUUGGAGGCCAGCGAUGCUGUAAUCAGUCCGUGUAUUGUCAAAGUGCUUACAGUGCAGGUAGUUCUAUGUAAUAUCUACUGCAGUGGAGGCACUUACAGCAAUACCCUGACACUGAUGUUCACAUUCUUUGAUGUUACAUGUCAUUUUGAAGUACUGUCUUUGUGCUAAGGUGCAUCUAGUGCAGAUAGUGAAAUAGACUAGCACCUACUGCCCUAAGUGCUCCUUCUGGCAUAAGGGGCUGUGAUAUGCGCCACCAGACCAUUUUUAAUUUCUAAUUGGGCCUUAAAUAUCUUGCAGUUCUCUGCUAGUUUUGCAUAGUUGCACUACAAGAAUAGAUGAGUUGUGCAAAUCUAUGCAAAACUGAUGGUGGCCUGCUUGCUCUCCACCUGUUUAGAUUUUUGGUUUUGGGGGUGUCACAUCAAACACAAUCUGUUUGCAUAAUACACACUUAACACUGUUUAAAAAAAAUAAAUACAGGAGUAUUCCAUAUUGAGUGUCUCAGUUUCAGCAGUACUAAAGUGCUUAUAGUGCAGGUAGUGUUUUUCUCAUCUACUGCAAUGUGAGCACUUGAAGUACUUCUAACUAACUGCAUCUUUCUGAAGCUCAGAUGUUUAUAAUUAUGGAAAAUCCGUUAAUCAUCACUUGGUCAGUUUUGCUGGUUUGCAUUCAGCUUUAACUGAUAUUUGCUGUGCAAAUCCAUGCAAAACUGACUAGGUUAAUGAAUUAUGCUCUGCCAAGUGGGGUUACUUUCCCUCAAGAUGUCUUUUUGCUGCAUGGUGGGUAUUUGCACAUACUUGGAUGUGUAUGAUGUUUUGGAUAUUUAGAGAUGUCCCUUCCUGUGCAGGUGGGGAUUAGUAGCAAUGCUGUGUACCUGGAGGUAUUGCACUUGUCCCGGCCUGUAUAGGAACGAGGAGAUGGAGCUGACCUUGAUCCUGACCUAGUGUUUAUCAGAAAACUGCUGCACUCAACCACAUGUCCUGUGAUGUUUUGGGCUGCAUGCAAUGCAAAUUAUUAUUGAUUUAAUUGAUAAUUGGUUAAUUUGUAAUGUUGCUUCAUAAAUAUUAAAUUGUUUACACUUUU